UACGUAGGGUGCGAGCGUUGUCCGGAAUUACUGGGCGUAAAGCGUGCGUAGGUGGUUCGUUAAGUCUGAUGUGAAAGCCCUGGGCUCAACCUGGGAAUGGCAUUGGAUACUGGCGACCUAGAGUGCGGUAGAGGGUAGCGGAAUUCCCGGUGUAGCAGUGAAAUGCGUAGAUAUCGGGAGGAACAUCCGUGGCGAAGGCGGCUACCUGGACCAGCACUGACACUGAGGCACGAAAGCGUGGGGAGCAAACAGG
rnacentral:rRNA from 1 species